CCACAAUAAGCGGGGAGCUAGCGGUGCCCUGUUUCCUGCAAUCCGCUACAGCAGGGCUGAAUUCCUAACGUGAGGUAUUAUGAUGUGGGGACUGAAUAAUGGAAUUAAUGUUGAAAAAUGAGUCUUUCUCAACGAAGAUUCUGCGAACCUGGUCAGGUCCGGAAGGAAGCAGCCAUAAGCAGUAACCCCUUUGUGUGAGCGAGGUAGCUUAUUUAGAGUUAAUGAAGUUAUGACCGCCUGUUUCAUGCUAUCGAUGGAAGGUUUGUGG
rnacentral:SRP_RNA from 1 species